rnacentral:lncRNA from 1 species
ACGUUAUUAUUGUCAUUUUUGUUUGCAUCGAUACUGUCACAUUUUGUGGAAAAUGAACUGAAAUUGCUGAUAGGAGGGGUAGCCUCACAAACUUCAUCACUGCAGAGAUGUAAAGACUUGGCAUGCCUUGAGUCAGUUUCUACAUUAUCAUCCACCCGCUUUCUGUUCUGUCCACUGUCUGAUCCAUCUAAAUCAGUUUUACCUUCCCCACUAAAGAGACGUAAAGACUUGGCAUCCCUUGAGUCAGACUCUACAUUAUCAUCCACCCGCUUUCUCUUCUGUCCACUGUCUGAUCCAUUUCCUUCACAUGAUUUUUCUGCUUGAGCAUCACCAGAAGCCUUCAGUUCUGAACUACGCCUGCUGUCCCAAGUAACUUUUGAUGGGCGCAAUGGUCGAACAC